AUUGAACGCUGGCGGCAGGCCUAACACAUGCAAGUCGAGCGGAGCGGCGGACGGGUGAGUAAUGCCUAGGAAUCUGACUGGUAGUUGGGGAUAACGUCCGGAAAGGGGCGCUAAUACCGCAUACUAUCGGAUGAGCCUGGGUCGGAUUAGCUAGUUGGUGGGGUAAAGGCCUACCAAGGCGACGAGCCGUAACUGGUCUGAGAGGAUGAUCAGUCACACUGGAACUGAGACACGGCCCAGACUCCUACGGGAGGCAGCAGUGGGGAAUAUUGGACAAUGGGCGAAAGCCUGAUCCAGCCAUGCCGCGUGUGUGAAGAAGGUCUUCGGAUUGUAAAGCUCUUUAAGUUGGGAGGCGUUACCAACAGAAUAAGCACCGGCUAACUUCGUGCCAGCAGCCGCGGUAAUAC
rnacentral:rRNA from 1 species